rnacentral:rRNA from 1 species
GACGGGUGAGUAACACGUGGAUAACCUACCUAUAAGACUGGGAUAACUUCGGGAAACCGGAGCUAAUACCGGAUAAUAUAUUGAACCGCAUGGUUCAAUAGUGAAAGACGGUUUUGCUGUCACUUAUAGAUGGAUCCGCGCCGCAUUAGCUAGUUGGUAAGGUAACGGCUUACCAAGGCAACGAUGCGUAGCCGACCUGAGAGGGUGAUCGGCCACACUGGAACUGAGACACGGUCCAG